UACAGAGGGGGCAAGCGUUGUUCGGAAUUACUGGGCGUAAAGGGCGCGUAGGCGGCCGCUUGCGUCGGAUGUGAAAGCCCGGGGCUCAACCCCGGAACGGCAUCCGAUACGGGGCGGCUCGAGACCGGGAGAGGUGAGUGGAAUUCCCAGUGUAGCGGUGAAAUGCGUAGAUAUUGGGAGGAACACCAGUGGCGAAGGCGGCUCACUGGACCGGUACUGACGCUGAGGCGCGAAAGCGUGGGGAGCAAACAGG
rnacentral:rRNA from 1 species